UACGAAGGGUGCAAGCGUUACUCGGAAUUACUGGGCGUAAAGCGUGCGUAGGUGGUUUGUUAAGUCUGUUGUGAAAGCCCCGGGCUCAACCUGGGAAUGGCAAUGGAUACUGGCAAGCUAGAGUGCGGUAGAGGGUAGUGGAAUUCCCGGUGUAGCGGUGAAAUGCGUAGAGAUCGGGAGGAACACCAAUAGCGAAGGCAGCUCGCUGGGACGUGACUGACACUGAGGCGCGAAAGCGUGGGGAGCGAACAGG
rnacentral:rRNA from 1 species